CCAUGUUUGAUCUUGCAGUAUGUAAUAGCAAUAAUAGUUGGCCUGUUCAUAAGGUUGAUGGAAUUUGCAAUUUUCAUAUUCCUUCAUGGCAGUUUCCUGCAAAAGCCCAAGAAAGUUACUAACAAGGAAACUUUAGAAGGUUGAUGGAAUUUGCAAUUUUCAUAUUCCUUCAUGGUCUUCUACAGCUCGAGGCAUGCAACAGAUACGACAUCAGACACGGAAACUUUAGAAGGUUGAAAGCGAAGCAACUCUAGCUUGCUGUAAAAACGCUUGUCCUUCAAUGCACAAAAAAAGGAAUAACAUUGACUAGUUUAUGAGCAGAAGUAGUUUGACAUGCACUGGAAGACAUUGUUGGAACCGUUUCAAAGGAAGCCCUAACUAACAGUGUUGAAUCUUAAGUUAAGACAUUCGUGUAUUCUCUAAAGAACAUUAUGUAGCUUUAACAGCAUGGUCAUGCAAUGGCCACUUUUCUGAGAAAAUGAACAACAUAUGGAUUUACCUUGAAGUAUCCUCAUUUAAACAACUUUGCAACACAAAAUGAUACCCCGGCCUUAUCAAAACAUGCUUGGAAGUCCUCUCAUAAAUAAGAGAAACCAUGAACAAACUGAGCAUUACCUUU
rnacentral:lncRNA from 1 species